UACGAAGGGGGCUAGCGUUGCUCGGAAUCACUGGGCGUAAAGGGUGCGUAGGCGGGUCUUUAAGUCAGGGGUGAAAUCCUGGAGCUCAACUCCAGAACUGCCUUUGAUACUGAAGAUCUUGAGUUCGGGAGAGGUGAGUGGAACUGCGAGUGUAGAGGUGAAAUUCGUAGAUAUUCGCAAGAACACCAGUGGCGAAGGCGGCUCACUGGCCCGAUACUGACGCUGAGG
rnacentral:rRNA from 1 species